rnacentral:rRNA from 1 species
CCUACGGGGGGCAGCAGUGGGGAAUAUUGGACAAUGGGGGCAACCCUGAUCCAGCCAUGCCGCGUGUGUGAAGAAGGCCCUCGGGUUGUAAAGCACUUUCAGUGAGGAAGAACGCCUGGUGGUUAAUACCCAUCAGGAAAGACAUCACUCACAGAAGAAGCACCGGCUAACUCCGUGCCAGCAGCCGCGGUAAUACGGAGGGUGCGAGCGUUAAUCGGAAUUACUGGGCGUAAAGCGCGCGUAGGUGGCUUGAUAAGCCGGUUGUGAAAGCCCCGGGCUCACCUGGGAACGGCAUCCGGAACUGUCAAGCUAGAGUGCAGGAGAGGAAGGUAGAAUUCCCGGUGUAGCGGUGAAAUGCGUAGAGAUCGGGAGGAAUACCAGUGGCGAAGGCGGCCUUCUGGACUGACACUGACACUGAGGUGCGAAAGCGUGGGUAACAAACAGGAUUAGAUACCCUUGUAGUC